ensembl:lncRNA
AAAUGUUAAAAUGCAAAUAAAUAAACCAACAACAGCAUAAUUAGCUCUAGUAGCCUGCUAGGCGCUAGCUUAAUACUAUGGGUGCUUGUCUAAGGCAUGUCUGUGUUUUUGAUGUGUUUUUAUUUAUUUAUUGUAUACAUAAUUAUUUUAUGUAUGACUGAGAUUGACUUUAAUCUGGGUUGUCAUGAAAUAUCAGCAAUAUUUAACCGCAGUAAUCUACUUCUGUAAAUACUUUUUUUUAAAGGCUGCAAUGUUACUGCAACUUUGUACAAGUUUGUCUUAUUGUUUCCUCUCCUAGACAACAGAACAUCGAUCAUCUCCUCUGUGGUUGACCCUCACUGCUGGUGAAUUAUUGCUGACUCUGAGCUAUGACAGAGAGCUUCAUGACUGUGUCGAAGUCUCGCAGCAGACA